ACCUCCUGGGCUCAAGUGAUCCUCCUGCCUCAGCCUCCCAAGUAGCUAGGACUACAGGAACAGUCUACCACACACAGCUGCCUCUCAUGAAUUUGGGAUGGGAAAUCAAAGAGGAGGAGCUGUAACCCAUUCUUGGGUCAGUGCCAAAAGAAGAUAAAGGAACAGCUGCAAGAUACUGCAGAGUGAAGAAUGGUAAUUCAGCAGAAGCCAGAAAUCAAACCCAGAGGUACCAAGAGAAUGGGAAGCCCAGAAAAAUCUCAGGGAGUUUGGGAGAGAAUCGACUUCCCGUAAGACCUGGGAUGAGGUUUCCAGGUGAGUUUAUUAAACUGCAAGGUGGUAUUUGACUUCACAAAUAAUCUAAGAGCCACUGACAAUAGGAUUCUGCUGACAAAUAUUAAUCACUCCUCACCAUAGUAUCAGUGAAAACUCUCGUUAGAGAUGAUAGGUGCAACAGACAAUGUCUAUGUCCUCUCCCUGACAAAUUCGUAUGUCAUCCCCCAAUGCUAUGGUAUUAGAUGGUAGUGUCUUUGGGAGUUAAUUAGGUCAUGAGGGUGGUGCCCUAAUGAGUGGAAUUAGUGCCCCUAUAAAAAGAACCCCAGAAGCUUCCUUGCCCUCUUUCUGCCAUGUGAGGAUUCAAUGAGAAGACAGUAGUCUGCAAUCCAGAAGAGGACCCUCACCAGAAUGCAACCUUGCCAGCAUGCUGAUGUAGGAUUUCCAGCCUUCCAAACUGUGAGAAAUAAAUUUCUCAUUUGUGUAUAA